rnacentral:rRNA from 1 species
CCGCGGGAUUAGAGUUUGAUCCUGGCUCAGAGCGAACGCUGGCGGCAGGCUUAACACAUGCAAGUCGAGCGGGCGUAGCAAUACGUCAGCGGCAGACGGGUGAGUAACGCGUGGGAACAUACCUUUUGGUUCGGAACAACCCAGGGAAACUUGGGCUAAUACCGGAUAAGCCCUUACGGGGAAAGAUUUAUCGCCGAAAGAUUGGCCCGCGUCUGAUUAGCUAGUUGGUGAGGUAACGGCUCACCAAGGCGACGAUCAGUAGCUGGUCUGAGAGGAUGAUCAGCCACAUUGGGACUGAGACACGGCCCAAACUCCUACGGGAGGCAGCAGUGGGGAAUAUUGGACAAUGGGCGCAAGCCUGAUCCAGCCAUGCCGCGUGAGUGAUGAAGGCCCUAGGGUUGUAAAGCUCUUUUGUGCGGGAAGAUAAUGACGGUACCGCAAGAAUAAGCCCCGGCUAACUUCGUGCCAGCAGCCGCGGUAAUACGAAGGGGGCUAGCGUUGCUCGGAAUCACUGGGCGUAAAGGGUGCGUAGGCGGGUCUUUAAGUCAGGGGUGAAAUCAUGGAGCUCAACUCCAGAACUGCCUUUGAUACUGAGGAUCUUGAGUUCGGGAGAGGUGAGUGGAACUGCGAGUGUAGAGGUGAAAUUCGUAGAUAUUCGCAAGAACACCAGUGGCGAAGGCGGCUCACUGGCCCGAUACUGACGCUGAGGCACGAAAGCGUGGGGAGCAAACAGGAUUAGAUACCCUGGUAGUCAACGCCGUAAACGAUGAAUGCCAGCCGUUAGUGGGUUUACUCACUAGUGGCGCAGCUAACGCUUUAAGCAUUCCGCCUGGGGAGUACGGUCGCAAGAUUAAACUCAAAGGAAUUGAC